rnacentral:lncRNA from 1 species
UUCACAAAUCAAACUUGUGCCCAUUUGAAUAAGGAGACACCAAGGGAAGCGAGUUCAACAAAUCAAACUUCCUAUUAUCGUCCAAUUCCAAAUCCAAAUCCAAAUCCUUCCAAUAAUUCAUCGGAAACCUAAACAUCUGCUUAGUCGAAUCCUCGUCAACAAUGAACUCCCUCUCAUGAGCACUCACGGCGAGAAGUGGGUCCCACUUCACCAACUCAAGCAC